UACGUAGGGUGCGAGCGUUGUCCGGAAUUAUUGGGCGUAAAGGGCUCGUAGGCGGUCUGUUGCGUCAGGAGUGAAAACUCGGGGCUUAACCCCGAGCCUGCUUCUGAUACGGGCAGACUAGAGGUAUGCAGGGGAGAACGGAAUUCCUGGUGUAGCGGUGAAAUGCGCAGAUAUCAGGAGGAACACCGGUGGCGAAGGCGACUACCUGGCCUGUUCUUGACGCUGAGGCGCGAAAGCUAGGGGAGCAAACGGG
rnacentral:rRNA from 1 species